GGGGGUGUAGCUCAGUGGUAGAGCGUUCGCUUUGUGUGUGAAAGGCCCGGGAUUCGAUCCCCCGCACUUCCA